rnacentral:lncRNA from 1 species
UUUGUAUCAUACAAGGCCAGAAAGACCUGAGAACUAGCCACCUCUCCAGCCUCGGGCCCCACUCUCCUUCUUAGAUGACAGGCUGUGUUUCUGCCUUUGGACAUCCCUCUACAGAUGAAUUCAUAGCUCAAACGGCCUCUCCUUUUAGGUCUGUUCACAUGACUCCUCUUUUUACAUGUCUAAAAGGUCAUCUCUUCCUGCACUGUAUUCUUCCUCUGCUUUGUUCUUCGUAGUGAUCGCUGCUGGUACUGUAUUAUAGCAUUUACAUUACACUUCCUCUCAGUGUGAGAAGGCAGCAGCUUUUUUUUCUUCAAUCAAGUAACCUCAGAACCAAAAACAGUGUUGAUACAUGGUGUAUUUACUCGGGAAUACUGAAUAAGUGAAAAUAGUGUGUGUGCACAUACAUUAUCUUACCUGCAAUGUGACUUCUGUCAGCAUACUCAAAGGCCACCAUCAUUUUAGUGGUCUAAAGCAGAGACACUCUGCUUACUUGAAGGUUACAAGAGAAUUCGUUGAUUCUCCCUGUUACAACUGAAAAGCUAGGACAAGCUAAGUCCUCUUUAGAAAUACGGUGUCUCUGAACAAGCGUAGAAGAUGUUGCCUGGCCACAUCACAGCGAAUAUUCAUCCUCAGAGUUCCUGUGUAUUUGAAAACAUUUUUAUGAGUUUCUUUUGUAAACAUACAACUGGGAACAUUGUAUCUGAUGACUAACGUGCUAGCUUAAAACCUAGGCAUCUGUCCACAAUAGAAAAAAUUGCCUCCCUGGUUAAGUCAAUUGUAUGGCUAUUCUAUAGUGUAUUUAAACAGUGUGUUUAGAUUCUCCAGAGUUUUUUUUGUUUUGUUUUGUUCUGGUUUUUUUUUUUCCUGUCAAUACUGUGGCAAGUGAUCGUAUGUAUAUCUUUGCAUCUAUCAAUGAGUAUUUGUAAGAGGAAUUCUUAGAAAUGAAGAUAACUGGGUUAAAGUAUUUAUUCUCCUUAGUUUUCCUAAGUAUUGGAAAAUUGUUGUGCUAAAGGAUUAUGUCAGAAUUUGAAAAUGUUCGGCAAUAUUUGGGAUGUGUAAAACCUUUGUUCAUAAUCUGACAUCAGCAAAAGACCUUGCGUUGCCCUUGGUUAAACAGCACAGUGGCCAUCAGUGGGAGCAGCAGCAAGCUGUAAAGAGCAACCUUCAGUUUCAUUUCCAUGGCUUCCUAGAAAUGUUAAACCUUUAUCUAUCGUUAAUGUGGGUUUCCUACUGGUUGGGAUUGCGGUAAAGGAAAGCAGUCAUGUUGCAUCCCCUGAGCAGUGGGUAGACUACAUCCUUUGCCUCCCAUUAGGGCAGGGAUUUCCAGCACAAGCUAGCAAAGUCAUCCCCAAACAUUGGGCUUCCUGUCGCCUCGGUCACAGCACGGCCCAGUGCCUUGUACUGAUUGUAGUGUCUUCUCUAGUUGAGUAAUCCAGUUAUCACUAGGAAUUUUAAAGCUCAUGCCUGGUGUUCUAUCUGGACUUAGUGAGUGCUUUUGCUAUUUUCUAUUGCUGCUAUAAAAAAAAAUAAAAUAAAAUAAAAUCACACACACACACACGUUUUCACAGUUAUAGCCAGGAAUCUAUGAUGACACUCUGAUGAGGGAAAUCUGGACUGAUAUUUUGAACUUGGAGUUCUCUAAACCUGAAAGAAGAUGGAAGUCCAUGAUGGCCUAGCUUGGAGGAAGAGUUGGGUGGACAGUAUUGACAACAGCCACUCUGCCUGCCUCAGCCCAUCCCUUUAAAACUCAUGCUGAUUUCCAUUGUAUUGUGCAUGGCUAUAAUCAUAGGUGCAAAGGUGCCUUGGCCAGUUCUUUGGCAAUAGUAAUAAAUUGCAAUUAAAUUUCAGAUGAGAUUUGAAGAGAAAGGUAUAUGGUCCAGAAAAGUCACUAGCUGAACAUUUAUUUAUUUAUUUAUUUAUUUAUUUAUUUAUUUAUUAUAUGGAAGUACAUUGUAGCUGUCUUCAGACACUCCAGAAGAGGGAGUCAGAUCUCGUUACGAAUGGUUGUGAGCCACCAUGUGGUUGCUGGGAUUUGAACUCAGGACCUUCGGAAGAACAGUCAGGUGCUCUUACCCACUGAGCCAUCUCACCAGCCCGCUGAACAUUUUUUGAUGUCUUCAUCUUGGACCCACAUCUGUGACAAGAACUGUCUUUAUGAAUACCUAAGAGAAAGCUGUUAGGCUAUUCUUCUGCCAGAGAGUUUGCUUGUCAUUACAGUUUGUUUAAAAUUGAAUAAAACAAAUUUGUUUCUCAGUCCUCUCAAGUUUGAUGUUUACAAAGAUAACAUUCUUUUAGGUAGACAUUUUCUUUAUAAAUUUAGGUAAUAUGUACUCAUUGUUGAAAAGACUGGAAAUAUAAAUAACCAAAUGACCUAGAGCCCCACUAACUAGAACCAUGCUUUAAAAAUGUUGAAGAUAGCCUAUCAAAUUUAGAGUGAGGCAGGAGAAAUAUUUUUAAGUAUAAAAGGCCAAUAUAGAAGCCCACAAAGAGAUUUAAAUGUAUUCACAGCUAUUCUCUUUUUUUUGUUGUUGUUUUUGUUUUCUUUUUUCUUUUGUUUUUUGGUUUUUGGUUUUCGAGACAGGGUUUUUCUGUAUAGCCCUGGCUGUCCUGGAACUCAUUCUGUAGACCAGGCUGGCCUCAAACUCAGAAAUCCGCCUGCCUCUGCCUCCUGAGUGCUGGGAUCAAAGGUGUGCGCCACCACGCCCGGCUUAUUCUCAUGUUUCUAAAGGCUUGUGGACACUCACUGUUGGUAGGAAUUUAAGUUGAUUCAACUAUUUUGGAGAAAAUUAACCAAAAACAUAAAGUGCAUGUCCUGUGACUUAGACAUGCUCUUCAAAGGGAAGAACAUAUCCAGACAGCUGUACAGAGAGCAUCACACUAUUUUUUAAGUAAAAUAAUGAAUAACAUAAAUUUUAGUAAUAAAAUAGGGCUUUACUAACCAUAAGCUAAGUGUAGUUACUUAAAAUAUAAACCACCAAAAUUGAGCUUGAACUGGAUAUACAACUCUGUUGGUGGAAAGCUUGUAUCCAUCCCAACACUACAUAAACUGGAUGUGAUGACCCACCUGUGUCAUCCUUGCAGUUUGGAAGUAUAUUAGAAUGUUAAUGUCAUGCUCAACUUCACAGGGACCAGCCUGGGCUACAUGAGACCUUGUAUCAAAACUAAGAGUUUGGAGAGAUGGCUUCAUAAGUAAAGUGUUUUCUGUGCAGUCCCGGAGACCCACAGAAGAGCCCAGGUGCAACAGCAGGGGAGUACCCAGCACUGGGGCAGCAUGAACCCUGCUGCAGCCCAUCUAGACGAGUGAGCUGAAGGGUCAUCGAGAGACUCAAAAAGUCAGGUGGAAAGCAGUGGACAGGGACACCUGACGUGGAGCUUCUGGCCUUGGUACAAGUAUGAUCAUACGCGUACAGAGAGG